rnacentral:rRNA from 1 species
UACAGAGGGUGCAAGCGUUAUUCGGAAUCACUGGGCGUAAAGGGUUUGUAGGCGGUUUGUUAAGUCGAAUGUGAAAGCCCAGGGCUCAAUCCUGGAAGUGCAUUCGAUACUGGCAAGCUAGAGUGCAGGAGAGGAAGGCGGAAUUCCAGGUGUAGAGGUGAAAUUCGUAGAUAUCUGGAGGAACAACAGAGGCGAAGGCGGCCUUCUGGACUGUCACUGACGCUGAAAAACGAAAGCGUGGGGAGCAAACAGG